AGUGGGAUGGCGGAGUGGUUAACGCGCCAGGUUUAGGUCCUGGUCUCUUCGGAGGCGCGAGUUCGUUAUAGUUAACUCAAACAUUUUGCCAUUCUAUUU
rnacentral:tRNA from 1 species